rnacentral:rRNA from 1 species
GGUUUGAUUAUGGCUCAGAUUGAACGCUGGCGGGAUGUGCUAUGCAAGUCGAACGGCGGCACAGGACUUCGGUCUGGUGGCGAGAGUGGCGAACGGGUGAGUAAUGUAUCGGAGACGUGCCUAGUGGCGAAGGUGCUUACGCGGCAGCUAAUACCGCAUACGCCCUUCAGGGGAAAGCGGGGGACCUUCGGGCCUCGCACUAAUGAAACGGCCGAUAUCGGAUUGCGCAUCAGCUAGUUGGUGGGGUAACGGCUCACUGCAAGGCGACGAUCCGUAGCUGGUUUGAAGACGACCAACCACACUGGGACUGAGACACGGCCCGAACUCCUACGGGAGGCAGCAGUGGGGAAUUUUGGACAAUGGGAAACCCUGAUCCAGCCAUCCCGCGUGUGCGAUGAAGGCCUUCGGGUUGUAAACUUUGCACAGCGGAAAAACGGCACGGGAUAAUACGUGCAACUGACAGUACCUGCAGAAUAAGCACCAUUCGCUACGAUACCGCCAGCAGCCGCGUGGCGUAGGUGCAAGCGUUAAUCGGAAUUACCCAGGGCGUAAAGCCCGUGCGCAGGCGGUUCGGAAGAAAGAUGUGAAAUCCCGGAAACGCUUUCGAACACCGCAUUUUUGCUACCAGAGCAGGUGUAUCAGGGAGGUGGAAUUCCGCGUGUAGCGGUGAAAUAAGCCAGGUAUGGAAGACACCGAUGGCGGCUACAACCUCCUGGGAUAACACUGACGCUCAUGCGAAAGCGUGGGGAGCAAACCAAGUUAGAUACCCUGUUGGUCCCGCCUAAACGAUAAUAAUAGCUGUUGGGGCCUUCAGACGCCGGCGCUUCCUUCUUGCGUGGUGUGCUGGGAAGUACGGUCGCAAGAUUAAACUCGGAAUUGACGGACCCGCACAAGCGGUGGAUGAUGUGGAUUAAUUCGAUGCAACGCGAAAACCUUACCUACCCUUGACAUGUCUGGAAUCCCGAAGAUUUGGGAGUGCUCGCAAGAGAACCGGAACACAGGUGCUGUGGCUGUCGUCAGCUCGUGUCGUGAGAUGUUGGGUUAAGUCCCACAACGAGCGCAACCGCUAUCUUCAGGUUGCUACGAAAGGGCACUCCUGACGGACUACCGGUGACAAACCAGGAGGAAGGUGGGGGCUGGCGCAUCCGUCUCAUGGCCCAUAUGGAGUGCGGGACUACACGUCAUGCUGUCAUGGUCGGGACAGAGGGUCGCCAACCCGCGAGGAGCCAAUCCCAGAAACCCGAUCGUAGUCCGGAUCGCAGUCUGCAACUCGGCUGUGAAGUCGGAAUCUUGUGCGGAUCAACAUGUUGCGGUGAAUACGUUCCCGGGUCUUGUACCGUAAUCACCAUGGGGUGGUUUUUGCAGGAAAUGGUCAGCCUAACUGCCGUAAGGGCGAUUACGUGGAUUCAUGUUGGGUGAAGUCGCCAACAAAGGUAGCUGUUGAUGCUCAG